rnacentral:sRNA from 2 species
GCUUGGCUACUGUGUGCUAUCAAGUUCUUUUGCCCCAGUGGCCCAGCGACACCACUUUCUCGGCCACUUUGCACCACCAUGCUAAUUUAGUAUGAGAAACGAUCUUAUUUGUCUUGGAGGCACUCCAUCAUGGUCCAAUCGGCUGAUUGCAAAUUUGCAGCAAACUCCGGGAUGCUAAUGAUUGAAUUUAAAACUCGGGAGUAUUCCUGUUCGAUGCCAUUAUUGAGUUUGUUAUAAGAUACAUAGUUCAACACCAUCUUAUCCAAUCUACUACUUUCUCCUCCCCCUUCCCUAGCGGUGUCAGUGACGCCUCAGACGGCGCGGAAACAUGCACUCUACAUGCAGGUUACACGUCGGCUGACCCCUCGGGUGACUCACCUGAACUACGCUAGUGUAGGUCACCUGACCCAAAACAAUUCUUGGCACAAAAAGGGUCAGCUGAGAAUAAAACAAAAAUGAACUUUUACCUUCUGAUACAUCUGUUAAUACACACAGCAAAAAUGAAUAUUGAUUCUUUCUCAGAUGAUAGUAAUCUAUUAGAUCAUGAUUUGAAUCAAGAGCAUUGACUUGAGAAACACACAGAAGUUUUGGAUGAAAGCACAGUAUAUGAAACUAGUCUUUUACUACUAUUUGAUUGCUUACUGACUAGUAAGCCAACUUAUGAAUCCAUUAU